GACGAACGCUGGCGGCGUGCUUAACACAUGCAAGUCGAACGGAAAGGCCCUGCUUUUGUGGGGUGCUCGAGUGGCGAACGGGUGAGUAACACGUGAGUAACCUGCCCUUGACUUUGGGAUAACUUCAGGCAACUGGGGCUAAUACCGGAUAGGAGCUCCUGCUGCAUGGUGGGGGUUGGAAAGUUUCGGCGGUUGGGGAUGGACUCGCGGCUUAUAAGCUUGUUGGUGGGGUAGUGGCUUACCAAGGCUUUGACGGGUAGCCGGCCUGAGAGGGUGACCGGCCACAUUGGGACUGAGAUACGGCCCAGACUCCUACGGGAGGCAGCAGUGGGGAAUAUUGCACAAUGGGCGGAAGCCUGAUGCAGCAACGCCGCGUGCGGGAUGACGGCCUUCGGGUUGUAAACCGCUUUCGCCUGUGACGAAGCGUGAGUGACGGUAAUGGGUAAAGAAGCACCGGCUAACUACGUG
rnacentral:rRNA from 1 species